rnacentral:rRNA from 1 species
CCUGAAUUCGAAAGGGACUGGAUUCAAGGCCAUCCGAGUGUAAAUCGGGGCGCCCUAUUCAGAUGUCACCGGACGCCCGCCCAUGAUUUAUUUCGUGCGCGGUGUCGAUCCCUGUGCUCACUCGUCUAGAGGUGUUUCCCUGGCACCGGAGGCUUGCACUUCCCCCCUAGUAGAAACGUCGCGACCCGUUGGGUGCCGGUCAUAAGGCUCGGGAUGGCAGACCACUUGUCCUGCGGGGGUUCCCAAAGGCGUGUGGACACCUGAUGACCCGGCCGGCUGCCCGACGGUAUAACCAGAGGAGUCGAUCCGCUGAAAAUGAGAAACACUGUGGUUGUGUAGCGUCCGGCCCUUUGCUGAUGUGCCCAGGGUUAGGCGUAAUGCCGUGGGUGUUCGUGCCUAGCACGGACUCCCGGCCCUGUGGAGUCUUCGGUUAUCGUGGUCCUCGGACUGGAUCAGCACUCCCGUCGGCGACGCCCACCUUCGGAUGGUCUCCCG